AACGCGAAGAACCUUACCUACCCUUGACAUCCUAAGAAUUCUGCAGAGAUGUGGAAGUGCCGAAAGGAACUUAGAGACAGGUGCUGCAUGGCUGUCGUCAGCUCGUGUUGUGAGAUGUUGGGUUAAGUCCCGUAACGAGCGCAACCCUUAUCCUUAGUUGCCAACGCGUAAUGGCGGGGACUCUAAGGAGACUGCUGGUGAUGAACCGGAGGAAGGCGGGGACGACGUCAAGUCAUCAUGGCCUUUAUGGGUAGGGCUACACACGUGCUACAAUGGUCGGUACAGAGGGCAGCCAACCCGCGAGGGGGAGCUAAUCCCAGAAAGCCGAUCGUAGUCCGGAUCGGAGUCUGCAACUCGACUCCGUGAAGUCGGAAUCGCUAGUAAUCGCGAAUCAGAAUGUCGCGGUGAAUACGUUCCCGGGCCUUGUACACACCGAGACUA
rnacentral:rRNA from 1 species